GGGCAAGCAAGGAGGAACAGAUGCGCCAGCUACAGGGAUAUCCAUUGGAGAAGAUGAAAGAGAGACCUUCGGGAUGGUGUGCGACAUCGACGGAAGAUGCUCGAGAUUACGAGAAGGAGGAGCUGUGCUGUAGCAUCCCCGAUCCUAGGUAGGAUCGUCUGGAUGGACCAUGGUGCGAGGAGACGCACCAGCCAGGUCAUACGACCUAAAGACAAGCAUGUCAUGUUCCAAAACGUGGUUAAGGGAAUUAGAUAGCUGGAACUUAACCAAAAUAAGGCAGAGGCAAGCUCAAAGGAGCUGGACAAGCGAGCCGGUAGCUGGACGAGGUCCGAGUGAAGCUCGAUGAAGUGAAUGAUCAUAAUGGAUCAUGGGAAAACUAAGUUUAGGUCUGGAAAUAGACUAAGGGACUUAGAAGGAUUGGACAAGAUAAAGGAAGCAAGCUAGACGUAGUGUAUAACAGCUGGGCGAUGCGGUAAGCAAGCUCGACCAGCUAGGUGAAGUGUAGUGCAGCUCGGUGUAGCUCACUGAAGUGUAGGUCAGCUCCAGCAGCUGGACUAC
rnacentral:lncRNA from 1 species